rnacentral:rRNA from 1 species
CAAUAGCGUAUAUUAAAGUUGUUGCAGUUAAAAAGCUCGUAGUUGGAUUUCUGGUAGGAGCGACCGUGCCGAACUUGAUUGUUCGAGUAUUGUGUUGUCUUCAGCCAUCCUCGUGGAGAACUUUUCUAACAUUAACUUGUUGGGAUUGGGACCCGCGUCGUUUACUGUGAAAAAAUUAGAGUGUUUAAAGCAGGCAUUAGCUUGAAUACAUUAGCAUGGAAUAAUAAGAUAGGACUUUGGUACUAUUUUGUUGGUUUGCAUACCAAAUUAAUGAUCAACAGGAACAGUUUGAGGAUAUUCGUAUGAACAUGUCAGAGGUGAAAUUCUUGGAUUUUGAUCAGACGAACUACUGCGAAAGUAUUUAUCAAGGAUGUUUUCAUUAA